rnacentral:rRNA from 1 species
UGGGGAAUCUUAGACAAUGGGCGCAAGCCUGAUCUAGCCAUGCCGCGUGAGUGAUGAAGGCCUUAGGGUCGUAAAGCUCUUUCGCCUGUGAAGAUAAUGACUGUAGCAGGUAAAGAAACCCCGGCUAACUCCGUGCCAGCAGCCGCGGUAAUACGGAGGGGGUUAGCGUUGUUCGGAAUUACUGGGCGUAAAGCGCGCGUAGGCGGUUAAGUCAGGGGUGAAAUCCCGGGGCUCAACCCCGGAACUGCCUCCAAAACUACUAGUCUAGAGUUCGAGAGAGGUGAGUGGAAUUCCGAGUGUAGAGGUGAAAUUCGUAGAUAUUCGGAGGAACACCAGUGGCGAAGGCGGCUCACUGGCUCGAUACUGACGCUGAGGUGCGAAAGUGUGGGGAGCAAACA